AGCGGGUGAAAAGCCCGCUCGCCGGAAGACCAAGGGUUCCUGUCCAACGUUAAUCGGGGCAGGGUGAGUCGACCCCUAAGGCGAGGCCGAAAGGCGUAGUCGAUGGGAAACAGGUUAAUAUUCCUGUACUUGGUGUUACUGCGAAGGGGGGACGGAGAAGGCUAUGUUGGCCGGGCGACGGUUGUCCCGGUUUAAGCGUGUAGGCUGGUUUUCCAGGCAAAUCCGGAAAAUCAAGGCUGAGGCGUGAUGACGAGGCACUACGGUGCUGAAGCAACAAAUGCCCUGCUUCCAGGAAAAGCCUCUAAGCAUCAGGUAACAUCAAAUCGUACCCCAAACCGACACAGGUGGUCAGGUAGAGAAUACCAAGGCGCUUGAGAGAACUCGGGUGAAGGAACUAGGCAAAAUGGUGCCGUAACUUCGGGAGAA
rnacentral:rRNA from 1 species